UACGAAGGGGGCUAGCGUUGCUCGGAAUCACUGGGCGUAAAGCGCACGUAGGCGGCUUUUUAAGUCAGGGGUGAAAUCCUGGAGCUCAACUCCAGAACUGCCUUUGAUACUGAGAAGCUUGAGUCCGGGAGAGGUGAGUGGAACUGCGAGUGUAGAGGUGAAAUUCGUAGAUAUUGGGAAGAACACCAGUGGCGAAGGCGGCUAACUGGUCCAGCACUGACGCUGAGGUGCGAAAGCGUGGGGAGCAAACAGG
rnacentral:rRNA from 1 species